CAGUCGCCGCGGGAAUACGGAGGGUGCAAGCGUUAUCCGGAUUUAUUGGGUUUAAAGGGUCCGUAGGCGGACUUAUAAGUCAGUGGUGAAAGCCCAUCGCUCAACGGUGGAACGGCCAUUGAUACUGCAGGACUUGAAUUAUUGGGAAGUAACUAGAAUAUGUAGUGUAGCGGUGAAAUGCUUAGAGAUUACAUGGAAUACCAAUUGCGAAGGCAGGUUACUACCAAUUGAUUGACGCUGAUGGACGAAAGCGUGGGUAGCGAACAGGAUUAGAGACCCCAGUAGUCCCUGUCUCUUAUAC
rnacentral:rRNA from 1 species